rnacentral:rRNA from 1 species
UACGAAGGGGGCUAGCGUUGCUCGGAAUGACUGGGCGUAAAGGGCGCGUAGGCGGAUGGCUUUGUCGGGCGUGAAAUUCCAGGGCUUAACCUUGGGGCUGCGUUCGAGACGGGUUGUCUUGAGUGGGGAAGAGGGUCGUGGAAUUCCCAGUGUAGAGGUGAAAUUCGUAGAUAUUGGGAAGAACACCGGUGGCGAAGGCGGCGACCUGGUCCGAUACUGACGCUGAGGCGCGAAAGCGUGGGGAGCAAACAGG